UUGUCACCAGAUGUGGACUCCUUCGCUUCCUCUGCCUGGUGAAUCGUUCUUGCAAAACCGUUGUGGGAGCUUAAGUUUGCGGUCUCCGAUGCCGGCAACCGUUGGGUGAGGGUGGUGAUAGAUAUUGGUAGGACGCUCUCAUAUAACGGCAAGGAGUGCUUCUGGAGCAGAACCUGCAGUCUCAUUAGUGGCCCCCGGGAAGGCACACAGAUGUUUUCAUGAACAACGUCUUUGGUUCAAAGGUAAUUAUGGCUCAAUAGUGCA